rnacentral:rRNA from 1 species
AGUCACUGACAUUAGAUACCCCCGUAGUCCCAGCCGUAAACUAUGCUCGCUAGGUGUCAGGCAUGGCGCGACCGCGUCUGGUGCCGCAGGGAAGCCGUGAAGCGAGCCACCUGGGAAGUACGGCCGCAAGGCUAGAAACUUAAAGGAAUUGGCGGGGGAGCACAACAACGGGUGGAGCCUGCGGUUUAAUUGGACUCAACGCCGGACAACUCACCGGGAACGACAGCAAUAUGUAGGCCAGGCUGAAGACCUCGCCUGAAUCGCUG